rnacentral:lncRNA from 1 species
CGCAUCAAGACUCGUGCCAAAAAAUAGACUUGAAACGCCGAGGAAUAACGAAGCACAUCGCAACUGCUACUGUAGCUCGCUGCGCACUGCUAUUGCAGCUUGUUGUGUGCUUCUUGUUGUACUCUGCUACUGCAGCCAAUCAUCACUACUAGCCUGCUUCGCGAUUUAAUAACUAUAUAUCUAAGCAUCUGAUUGGUACCAAAAUUUAAUAUGCUAAACAUGGUACUACAAACUAUUUUUUAAAAAUAUUACUCAAUCAAAAAGAGCAUUAUAAACUGCUUUUACAUGGGCAUAAAAGUACUCAGUCACAACAGUUUCCAACCGAGCACAAUCUUGAUGCAAUUCUCCUAAAUUUGUUCUAAACCCACUUUAAUUCAUCCAAUCAGUUUAGUUUACAUCAUAUUACAUUUACAAAAGACACCUAAUUGCCCUCAAUACAUCAAUGUUAUGAAAUCAAUCCCUAAUACCAUAACUUGGGCGAUCACGCUGAGUGUGUUCAGAUAUUCUCAUUCAUUCUCACUAUCUCUGUUUAUAUGCAUACGCCCAAAUGUUGUCAACAAACUUACUUUAGGAGAAAACUGUAAAUGAAUUGGGUUUAAACUUUAGGAGUCGAUUUUUAAUCCCUAAAAACAGAGGUGUACCAAUAAAAACAUACUAGUACCUAUACACAUCCAAUACUCCACUUGUCAAAUUUUCAAACAGAACUCACAAUCUGUCUUGGUAUUAUUAUUCAUAUACUACAGUAUAAUAUACUUAAUUAGGCCAAGUAAUCGGUCAAAUAUAAUAAAGAAUUUCCAGGAACAUAAAAGUGCAAUAAUGUAGUAAAAUCUAUUUAUAGGGAGCCCACUAAAUAGCAGUAAUAGGCAAGACCAAUUGUGAGCUAGGCAAAUGGAGGUAACCACUUCAAUGUAAAUAUACCAACAUAUACAGUCUAUUAACAAGGUGAAUAAAUGAAUGCUCAAUUGCUUGCAUGGAAUAGUCAAAUUGUACCCCCACUAAGAAGUUCCAAAUCAUCCAUUAAUGAUAGAUUUUUUUAGAUAAAUCUUUCCACGAUAAUAAAAAUAGGGAGCACCAUUCCAAGAGUGUGAGAAUAAGUUUUCUCCCCCUUCGUCUUUUAUUACAUUGUAACAUGUUUCAAACUAACACUUGCUAUAUUUACUAGUAUUGAGGAGAACAUUAUUCUGACUUCACAAUAAGUCAAAUGACAAAAAAAACAUGUGUGUAAGUUGUAACACACUGAAUAUGGUUUGAGAAGCCAAAGUCUUGGCCUUGUAUUAACAUUAUACCUAUUUUCUAGCAGCAGCACAGAAGUCCCAAAUAUAUAAUAAUUGCAUAGAUACAUGAUAUUGUUCCCUUAACGUCCAUAUGCAAUAUAAAACUCGCACUGAUAUUGAAAACAACUUUGACAUGAAGCUUUUGAUGAAAUAAUGAACAAGUAAUUUAUAACCAAAAUAGCUUCUUUGAGAUAUUUUUACAAACACAUAAUAUGCAUGGUUUUAAAACUUAAUGUUUCAUGUGUAUUUGAACAUAUUAACACAUAAUCUCCAACUAAUUCUCCUUGUAUCUUCGUAAUCCUUUAUGAUUCCCCACAUACACAACCUCUCACAACCAAUUCAUAACAAUCACAACCAUUAUUUACUUCAAGUUCAUAAAUUUGAUGAGUAACAUAUAUAACUUACCUUACUCGUUUGAUAUUUUGUUAAAUUCUUGCUUCCAUGGUUGAUUUGAACCCUUUCUUGGAUGGAAUUUUACUUAGAUUCUCCUCCUUUGAUAAUCUCUUGCUCCAAUUCUUCUUCAAUUUCAGUUUUUUUUACGGAAGAGAGAAACAGGGGAUGCAUUAUGAUGAUAAUUUUACUAAACAGCUCUCUCUCUCUCUCUCUUUUAUUCAACAAUUAAUAGCUUCGUGUCCUCAUGAUCGGCACUUAAUCCUUAUCCUCACAUAUAUAAAAAAUAUAUGUACAUACAUUUCUCUACAUUCAUCUCAAAUUAAAUAUUAU